rnacentral:lncRNA from 1 species
AACGAUUACAUAAGCACAACAUGUGGUGGAAGCAUUAGGUCCAAAAUCAACCAAACCACUUGCCAUGUGCUUAUAUUAACAAUCUGCAUGGACAUAUAAUAAAUGUGCUAGAUAGAUUAGAAAGCAACAACUUACUAUUGAACAAAAAGAUUAAAUGCAAUGAAAUCCAUAUAAAAAUAGGAGGCGACCAUGGAGGUGGCUCGUUCAAAAUGUGUUACCAAGUAGUGAAUGUAGAGAAACCUAAUGCAAAAACAAACACAACUGUCUUUAACAUAUUUGAAGCAAGUGAUUGUAAAACAAAUCUGAAGUUUUCACUGUCAAGAUUUAAAUCAGAAAUCGAUUUGUUGCAAAAUACCAUUUGGAGGUAAGAAUAUGUUACAACCAACUAAAUAAUCAAAAUAUUUAAAACAAAAUUAUUUAUGUUGUUUGUGAUUAAUUUGAACCUAUAUAACUAUUUUCAAAUGUAGAGAAAAACAGAUUCGUGUAUUUUUAUUUGGUGAUUACAAAUUCUUGUGUGCAAUCUAUGGAAUAACUGGUGCAACUGGUAGACACCCAUGCCUGUUUUGCAACAUCACAAGACAAGGAAUGUCAACUCCAAUUAAG